rnacentral:rRNA from 1 species
GUUUGAUCCUGGCUCAGAUUGAACGCUGGCGGCAUGCUUUACACAUGCAAGUCGAACGGCAGCACGGGGGCAACCCUGGUGGCGAGUGGCGAACGGGUGAGUAAUAUAUCGGAACGUACCCGGAAAUGGGGGAUAACGUAGCGAAAGUUACGCUAAUACCGCAUAUGCCCUAAGGGGGAAAGCGGGGGAUUCGCAAGAACCUCGCGUUUUCGGAGCGGCCGAUAUCGGAUUAGCUAGUAGGUGAGGUAAAGGCUCACCUAGGCGACGAUCCGUAGCUGGUCUGAGAGGACGACCAGCCACACUGGAACUGAGACACGGUCCAGACUCCUACGGGAGGCAGGCAGGUGGGGAAUUUUGGACAAUGGGCGCAAGCCUGAUCCAGCCAUGCCGCGUGAGUGAAG